CAGAGUACAAGCAUAUUGAAGCAGUUAUUAAAAGUAGUUUUGAUUUCUAUGCAUUAACCGUUGCUUGUAAAUGGAAUUCAUCAUAUUAAAGACAGGUUUCUCAGAUAAAUUUCCUUUCCUUUUCAUUACUGGAUAUUUAAAGGGACUGAUACAGCAAGUUGGGUAUCAAAAGAUAAAUAUUUAAAGGAUAGAACUUCCAAGUGAAUUUACAACUUCCAAGUGAAUUUACAACUUCCAAUUCGCCCUGUAGCUCUGUCUCACGAAGACAAAUGGCUUAAACUUCUAUUUGCCGUGCUUUAUCAUUGAGAUUUGACAUGCUUCCUUCCCAUAACUCAGCUAGUUCCCUCCUAAUCCACGAGAUGACGAUUAUAGGUCCCAGUGUCGACGGCACCUACACUCACCAAUGAGGGGGAAAAAGUUGAAGAGAAAAAAGGUUAAAAAUGGAUUAGCUAAUCUGCACCAUCUUAACAUUUGGUUAAUACUUUUAUACGUCUAAUGAGAUCCUAGCAAUAAUGACUUAGAUUUUGCACUUGUAUAUUUAACGAAGUUUUGUCUACCAAGCAAAGCAAAAAACUUGCAUAAGCAACACUCACUGAUGACAAUUAACCUAAUUAAAGAAAGCUCUCCAUCAAAAUUUCAUCAAUGCAUAAGAUCACAAGAAAAUACUGAAAACUUGAAUAAAUAACAAUAAAAUAAGUACCAGAUAAAGAAGUGCAGGUUGGGGUGAGCGAGUCAAAACACCAGCUGCCAAAGCAGUUACCAGUCCAAUGGCAUAUCCAGAAAGGGCAUACCAUAUGUAUUUGUGUCCCUUUGAGGAAUGAAUAUCUAAGAGACUUACAGGAUCUCUGCUCUUUCGAUGAUCAAAACAAAGGAUUAAUGCCAAAAGCAUGGCCGGAAUAGCCUGCAAUAACAUAUCAAAAUAAAAAAAUAAAAUUAUUUCAAUACUUCCUCUGAAAUAGCAGACAGCACCAUAAUAUUCACGAUGGAGAAAACCCAGUGAAAUUUGUUUAUAAUAGGUACAUCAAUGCUCAUAAAUUUACAUGAAGUUCACCGAGGAAAGCAAGUGCACCCAGCAUCAGUGCUCUUUCGGUCACAAAAUAUUAUUGCAAAACUUAAGUUGCGUAGGAUUUGUAUUACUCUCAAGUUAUAUGAUAACUUCAUAAUGCAGCUUCAGCUAGGAAGAAAAGUGUUUUUAAACAAUAGCCUAGCUAGUAGCUUCUAUGAGGAAAGGGAAGCAUACCAAUAUGAAUCAUCAAUCAGUCCAAAAAUGAAAAGCUUGAGUAUUGAAAUAAAUUGAAAACAACACAUACAACCAGGGGAGAAGAAACACUUAACAAAUAAUGAUUCACAGUGAAGAAUUUUAACCAAUGCGUCCUCAAGGUCUCACCACCUCCAUCAUUCUAUUACUACACAAAAAACUAAAAAGAUAUGAAUAUCUAAUAUAAAGAGAGUAGAGACCAAUAAGAAGUAAGAAGGCAGCUAUUCAUCCUUGACUAAGACUAAAGUAAAGACCACACAUGAGGCCUUUUAAGGAAUUAGAAACAAAAGAUCAAUAGUAACCAAACAAAACCAAGAAAAUGAUACAAUCAGCAAAUAUGCAUUAUGCAGACUACUGCAUAAUAUUUUGCAUUCGCAUAAAAUGAACUGCUCAAUUGCAAUGUAGUUCCAUUACAAGGCUUCCGGAGAGGACGGAGGGUGCCAAAUACUAUACAGUGUGUGCUGAUGCUUGUUACCAGAAGAACAGAACACACUAAAUCAUUAUCAGUACUUCAGUUAUGAAAACAACAAAAACUUAGAUGCAAUAUCACUGCAGGGUUUAUAAAAACAACACACCUUGUAGAUUUGGGAAAAUCUACUUCAAGACCACUGACAGAAAAAAAGUUAUCAUACCAUGUCUCCAAGGCCAAGCAUCAUGAAGUCUGCACCAUUUCCUCCAAGAACUGCACCACUGAACAAAUUUCUUGGGAAGACUAUUUUCACAGGCAACUCAAGCUUCUUUGUAAUCAAUUGCAACCCAGGAAGACUCAAACUAUUAGCUACUGUAUGGACAGGAUUUGAUGCUUGUUGUGUUGCCACUGAUACCAUGACAUUGGCACCAAAAAAUCUCUCUGAGAAGAACACCCAGAAUAUGUCAUAUACAAACAAGCAUGCAAGUAGCAUUGCGCAUAUUUUGAUGUUUGGAAGGCGCACAUGACUCACAAAUGCGAUACAAAUAGAAAUACCCAACAAGUUGUUCAAAACCCAAUGCCCAGAAACAAGCCAAGCUGCAACUGUAAUAAAGCAUGCCAACAACAAUAAGCCUUGGAUUCGUGUAAAUGACUUUGAACAGCAACGUGACACAAAUGGAUCUGCCAAGCCAUAAUUCGACUUUACAUAGGCAACACAAGGAGAGAGGCAGAAGACUAGGGAUGAAACAGAGGCAAUGGCUGUGAAUGCAGUGAGAAGUUGAGAGACAGAUGAAAACAGGUAAAACAUUAAAAGCAAACUGCAAGAGCUCAUUAUUGGGAUCAUUAGUGCCUGGGACUUGUCCAAUGUAAUAGAAGCUUCUGAUAAGUCACGAUUCCGCUCCAUUUCUUUCCCAUGAUUUAGAGCUCUAAAUGCAGACCCAAAUGUCACAGCCACAGCUGUCAUUAUUAGCGUAAUGGGUGCAGGCUCCAGUAAAUACAACAGCUUCCACAAGGACUCCAUGAUGAAGAGCACAAUUAUGUUAAUUCAAGCCUGUCUUCUGUAAACAACUGUAUCACCAAUUUAGCAACCAAAAUUGCAUUUUAUCUUUAAUGAAUGCUUGACCAGAUUAAUUCAUGUGAACCUCACUAAAUACACGAUCAAGCCCUAUUUUAGUUCAACAUCUCACUUUCCAUUUGAAAAUGAAACCAACAACCAGCAAAAAAGAAUUAAACUUUUGACUUUUCUCUGCUUUCCCUUGUUUUUGUCAGCAACAAAACAACAGGUUACCACUCCAAAUUUCUCAAUCUGCAUUCUUCCCAUCUGUUAGUCCCAAAGCACUAACAUCUCGAGCUCACAAACAAACAGGCAACUUGGACUUUGAAGCGCUUGAAAGACUCACUCGAAUCAACGAACGAG
rnacentral:misc_RNA from 1 species